rnacentral:lncRNA from 1 species
GACCCCUUAGGGUGCACCUACAUCACUUUGAAACCAUCGGGCCAAAGAAUACGCUAUUGGACCACUGUUGGCAAGUUCAGUCCUAGCUCAGUUCCUGAGCAUAGAUCUAAUUUCCUGUGUGGCCUCAAUACCUCCAAGACCUAGGAUGCUCCUUGAGAGGCAUGGUACUAUUUUGAGGUUUGUUCCAGGGUCAAGCAGAGUUUCAGCAUUCCAAGAAGAGAGAUGGAGCCCUCCUUGUUGUAGAACACUUUGUCUUCAUGUCACAAGUGUUCAUGCAUAUAUUCAACGGACUGCUGUUUCCUGACAAGACGGUGUUUCAAGACUACCUUUUCUAUUUACAUUUCACAUGAAGAAAAGAGUACUGUUCCUUGAGAAAGCUGUUUCUUCAUUAGGGCAGGUUCCAUAUCCAAUCAUUUUGUAAACU